AACGGCGAGUGAAGCGGCAAGAGCUCAAAUUUGAAAUCUGGCUCCUUCGGGGCCCGAGUUGUAAUUUGUAGAGGAUGCUUCGGGCGUGGCCGCGGUCUAAGUCCCCUGGAACGGGGCGUCGCAGAGGGUGAGAAUCCCGUCUUCGGCCGGCCGGCCCCGCCCGUGUGAAGCUCCUUCGACGAGUCGAGUUGUUUGGGAAUGCAGCUCUAAAUGGGUGGUAAAUUUCAUCUAAAGCUAAAUACUGGUCGGAGACCGAUAGCGCACAAGUAGAGUGAUCGAAAGAUGAAAAGCACUUUGAAAAGAGAGUUAAACAGCAUGUGAAAUUGUUGAAAGGGAAGCGCUUGCGACCAGAGUCGGCCGCGGGGGCUCAGCGGGCACUCGUUGCCCGUGCACUCCCCCGUGGUCGGGCCAGCGUCGGUUUCGACGGCCGGUCAAAGGCCCCCGGAAUGUGUCGCCUCUCGGGGCGUCUUAUAGCCGGGGGUGCAAUGCGGCCAGUCGGGACCGAGGAACGCGCUCCGGCACGGACGCUGGCUUAAUGGUCGUAAGCGACCCGUCUUGAAACACGGACCAA
rnacentral:rRNA from 1 species